GAUGAACGCUGGCGGCGUGCCUAAUACAUGCAAGUCGAGCGAACGGACGAGAAGCUUGCUUUUCUGAUGUUAGCGGCGGACGGGUGAGUAACACGUGGAUAACCUACCUAUAAGACUGGGAUAACUUCGGGAAACCGGAGCUAAUACCGGAUAAUAUUUUGAACCGCAUGGUUCAAAAGUGAAAGACGGUCUUGCUGUCACUUAUAGAUGGAUCCGCGCUGCAUUAGCUAGUUGGUAAGGUAACGGCUUACCAAGGCAACGAUGCAUAGCCGACCUGAGAGGGUGAUCGGACACACUGGAACUGAGACACGGUCCAGACUCCUACGGGAGGCAGCAGUAGGGAAUCUUCCGCAAUGAGCGAAAGCCUGACGGAGCAAAGCCGCGUGAGUGAUGAAGGUCUUCGGAUCGUAAAACUCUGCUAUUAGGGAAGAACAUAUGUGUAAGUAACUGUGCACAUCUUGACGGUACCUAAUCAGAAAGCCACGGCUAACUACGUG
rnacentral:rRNA from 1 species